GAAAAUAACAUAAGUUAACCUAACUAAAUUAAACAUCAGGGACCGAAUGUGCAAAUUCUGAAAUUAUUGAUUCAGUUAAAACAAAAUAAAUAGGACGUGCACAACCCUAGCCGCAUACUUUCACUAAUCAGUAAUCUUUCCCUCCUGCCCUUUUGGUCUUCUCUACUAAACAAGAACCCACACAUCAGACUUCAUCUUUUCCCUCUCAAAUCUCUUUGCCUACAACUUUAUCUUCAAGGAAAUCAACAUUUACCUUCUCUAACUUACACCUGCAAAUAAAAGCAUCAGGCCUCUCACCUCACAACACACUCACACCUACCCCUUCCGUCCCUCUCGGUUCGUAAUCCGACAACCACACCCCAAACCCCCUUUGUUAAUCUGUCACAUAUCAGCGAGGGUAGCGCCGGCAGCGGCUAAACAGACAAAGAUGGAACCGACGACUACAAUAGCGAUGGCUGUGGUUUCGGGGCUCGAGACGGCGGUGACAGAGGCGGUUCAAGUGAGCGACAGAGAGAGAUGUGGAUGAGAGAGGGAAUGACUGCAACUGUGGUGGUGCUCGACAGAACCGUCAGCGACGGUGCCGCCGUGACGGCGGCUGUGGUGCUUCGACUCCGGCGAGACAUCUGUUUGAUCUCGGCUCAGAUUCUCGUGUUCGGUUCACACGGAUUCGGGUUCGGUUCAAGAGGCGUGUCGGGGCAGAUUGCAGCUCGGGUUACGACUUGAUGUUCGGGCUUCGGUUCGGUCGAACCCGGUCAACUGUCGGGUCAAAGCCGGUCAGCACCGAUCGAAUAGUCAACACGGGUCAAAUCCGGUCAACUGACGGGUCGACGAUUCCUUCGAGACUUGGGUGACAUCGGUGUUCCAUCAUCCUAACCUCACACUCGUCGACACUUGGAUAAUCGGAAGACUUAGCAAUUUUGUUAAUUGAUGAAGUAUGGACAAAUGAUGAAACGAGAUUUAGGGUGGACUAGAUACACACCUUGUUUAAUCUAUCUUAUAUUGUUAUGUUUUGUCACGAAACAAUGUUGUUAUCUUUAUUUGAAUUUUGUAUGACUUUAGUAUUGGAAAUGAAAUUUGAAUUUA